rnacentral:lncRNA from 1 species
UUUUUCUCUUUGGUUCUGCACUCCUGUCCUAUCAUUGGCUCCCACAUCAGGAUUCUAAUGUGAUGGACAGGCGUACAUUUGGACUGUCCAUCACAACAACCUUCAAAGCUCAGGAGAAAUACUCCCUUUGUGGCAGAACCAUUGGAAGGGGGCAGAAAAAUGGUGUUGAGUCAUGAUUGCUCCACGCAAACAGAUCAUGAGCUUAUUUGAAAUAAGAUAUACCAGUGGACAAUAGAGAAUCAGUGAUCAGGGUUUGGGAACUGAUAGCCUUCUGGAUGAUUCAGACUAUAAUUUCCACAGCCCCCUUACCAUUCUGCCUGGAGCUUCUCAGGAGUCCAAAAUACUUGGAAGUCCAAACCUUCAUCGCCCCUGCUGUAGGAUCAAGAUGCAAGAUGCUUGCUUCUGUCUUCCUUUUUUUUUCUCCUGUGAAAUGGUACUGACUAAAGCCUGUGAUGAUACUGCAGAAGCAUCUUGAAGAGAUGUUGAGCAGAAGAGUGAACUCUGCCAAAGCAGAAUCUGUGUCUGCAAAGUCUGUGUCGGUAAUUCAGUCUAAAAGGAAGAAACACAGAAAGAGCUUACAUCUUAAAUGUGUGGAUGAAGCUACAGUUACUGGAGGGGCCUGCAGCAGGAAGCCAGGCUGACGGACAGAGAAAAAUUGCACUGAAAAAACUCUAAAAUCUCUAUGAAGACAAUGAUAAAAAUGAGCUCUCUUUAUCCUACCAUUCCCAUGCUGUGCUUAUUUAUUUAUUUAAAAGAUUUGUUGCCCUACAUUUCUUCAAGAAACCAUCAAGGUGGCUCAAUUGUCAGCGAAAGCAGUAUGUAAAAUACCACUCAGAACUACCCAAAAAACAAAA